CUCUGUUGAUGAGUCCCAAAAUAGAACGAAACAGCUGUCUAGCAG
rnacentral:hammerhead_ribozyme from 1 species